rnacentral:rRNA from 1 species
UACGUAGGCAGCGAGCGUUGUUCGGAAUUACUGGGCGUAAAGGGUGCGUAGGCGGUUUGGUAAGUCUUAUGUGAAAUCUACAGGCUCAACUUGUAGUCUGCAUGAGAAACUGCCGGGCUUGAGUAUGGGAGAGGUGAGUGGAAUUCCUGGUGUAGCGGUGAAAUGCGUAGAUAUCAGGAGGAACACCUGUGGCGAAAGCGGCUCACUGGACCAUAACUGACGCUGAUGCACGAAAGCUAGGGGAGCAAACAGG